rnacentral:rRNA from 1 species
GAUCAUGGCUCAGGGCGAACGCUGGCGGCGUGCCUAACACAUGCAAGUCGAACGGAGAUAGAGAUUUCGGUUUUUAUCUUAGUGGCGCACGGGUGAGUAACACGUGAAUAACCUGACCCAAAGAGGGGGGAUAACACCUGGAAACAGGUGCUAAUACCGCAUAAGACCACAAUGUCGCAUGACGAAGGGGUCAAAGAAAAUCGCUUUGGGAGGGGUUCGCGUCCCAUUAGGUAGUAGGCGGGGUAACAGCCCACCUAGCCG